GCGAGAGUGGCGAAGCUGGCAGACGCGCUGGACUUAGGAUCCAGUGGGCGAAAGCCCUUGGGGGUUCGACUCCCCCCUCUCGCACCA
rnacentral:tRNA from 1 species